rnacentral:rRNA from 1 species
GCAUAACCUGCCGAAAGGCAGGACAAUUCUCGAUGUGACCGCAAGGUUAAAGUCGCAAGACGCUAUGGAAGUGGCCUGGGCACCAUCAGCUUGUUGGUAAGGUAAUGGCUUACCAAGGCUAUGACGGUUAGGGGCCCCGAGAGGGGAAACCCCCACACUGGAACUGAGACACGGUCCAGACUCCUACGGGAGGCAGCAGUUUGGAAUUUUGGACAAUGGGCGAAAGCCUGAUCCAGCGACGCCGCGUGGACGAUGAAGGUCUUCGGAUUGUAAAGUCCUUUUGUUAGGGAAGAAUAUUUUGACGGUACCUAACGAAUAAGAGGUUGCUAACUCUGUGCCAGCAGCAGCGGUAAUACAGAGACCUCGAGCGUUAUCCGGAAUCAUUGGGCGUAAAGCGUACCGACAGGUGGUUAAGAAAGUCAGAUGUGAAAUCUCCGAGCUCAACUCGGAAUCUGUCAUUUGAAACUUCUUGACUAGAGGAGCAAGAGGAAGUUAGAACGAACGGUGUAGUAGUGAAAUGCGUUGAUAUCGUUCGGAAUACCAAUAGCGAAGGCAGACUUCUGGGUGCUACCUGACACUGCUAGGACGAAAGCGUGGGGAGCGAAGGGGAUUAGAUACCCCCGUAGUCCACGCUGUAAACGAUGUACAUUCGCUGCUAGGGAGUAUCGACCCUCUUUAGCAGCUAAGCUAACGCGUUAAAUGUACCGCCUGGGGAGUACGGUCGCAAGACUAAAACUCAAAGGAAUUGACGGGGACCCGCACAAGCGGUGGAGCAUGUGGUUUAAUUCGACGAUAAGCGAGGAACCUUACCAAGGCUUGACAUGUAGCUGCAUCUCUCAGAAAUGAGAGCGCCUUCGAGGGUGCUACACAGGUGCUGCACGGUUGUCGUCAGCUCGUGCCGUGAGGUGUUCACUUAAGUGUGAUAACGAGCGCAACCC